rnacentral:rRNA from 1 species
AUGGUAGGAUAGAGGCCUACCAUGGUGGUAACGGGUAACGGGGUGUUAGGGCACGACACCGGAGAGGGAGCCUGAGAAACGGCUACCACAUCCAAGGAAGGCAGCAGGCGCGCAAAUUACCCAAUCCCGACACGGGGAGGUAGUGACAAUAAAUAACAAUACAGGGUUCUUUAGGAUUUUGUAAUUGGAAUGAGUACAAUUUAAAUCUCUUAACGAGGAACAAUUGGAGGGCAAGUCUGGUGCCAGCAGCCGCGGUAAUUCCAGCUCCAAUAGCGUAUAUUAAAGUUGUUGCGGUUAAAAAGCUCGUAGUUGAAUUUCGGGAUCAAUACGUCGGUCGUGCUUCGGUACGUACUGGCGUCAUUGAUUUCUCCCUUCUGACGAACCAUGAUGUCAUUAACUUGGUGUCAUGGGAAAUCAGGACUGUUACUUUGAAAAAAUUAGAGUGUUUAAAGCAGGCUCACGCUUGAAUACAUUAGCAUGGAAUAAUGAAAUAGGACGUUCGAUCCUAUUUUGUUGGUUUUUAGGAUCAACGUAAUGAUUAAUGGGGAUAGUUGGGGGCAUUAGUAUUCAAUUGUCAGAGGUGAAAUUCUUGGAUUUAUUGAAGACUAACUACUGCGAAAGCAUUUGCCAAGGAUGUUUUCAUUAAUCAAGGACGAAAGUUAGGGGAUCGAAGACGAUCAGAUACCGUCGUAGUCUUAACCAUAAACUAUGCCGACUAGGGAUCGGAUGAUGUUAAUUUUUUAAUGACUCAUUCGGCGCCUUACGGGAAACCAAAGUGUUUGGG